GAUGAAGAACGUAGCAAAAUGCGAUAAGUAAUGUGAAUUGCAGAAUUCAGUGAAUCAUCGAAUCUUUGAACGCACAUUGCGCCCGCCAGUAUUCUGGCGGGCAUGCCUGUUCGAGCGUCAUUUCAACCCUCAAGCACAGCUUGGUGUUGGGACUCGCGUUAAUUCGCGUUCCCCAAAUUGAUUGGCGGUCACGUCGAGCUUCCAUAGCGUAGUAGUAAAACCCUCGUUACUGGUAAUCGUCGCGGCCACGCCGUUAAGCCCCAACUUCUGAAUGUUGACCUCGGAUCAGGUAGGAAUACCCGCUGAACUUAAGCAUAUCAAUAAGCGGAGGA
rnacentral:misc_RNA from 1 species